UACGUAGGGUGCAAGCGUUGUCCGGAAUUAUUGGGCGUAAAGAGCUCGUAGGCGGUUUGUCGCGUCUGCUGUGAAAACUCGGGGCUUAACCCCGGGCCUGCAGUGGGUACGGGCAGACUAGAGUGCGGUAGGGGAGACUGGAAUUCCUGGUGUAGCGGUGAAAUGCGCAGAUAUCGGGAGGAACACCAGUAGCGAAGGCGGCUCGCUGGGCCAUUCCUGACGCUGAGACGCGAAAGCUAGGGGAGCGAACAGG
rnacentral:rRNA from 1 species